AAGGAUGCUACCUCUGCUGCUCAAGCACUGGCUGAGUUUGAAGAACAUGCAGGCCUUGCUGCUAGAGCUAUUGUUGAACUUUAAAUGCAAUAUUGUGUUGAUGAUGGUGGUUCAUUCCACUUAGGUUUCAAGGAUGAAAGGUUGGAACAAGGGCAAUCAUUUCCUGGAGAUGGUAAUGGUAAUUUUUCAGUUGGCAAGCAGAAUUGGAACAUGAAAUUUAAGGAUGCUACCUCUGCUGCUCAAGCAGAGGCUGAGUUUGCAGAACAUGCAAGCCUAGCUGCCAAAGCUGUUGUAGAAAUUUCAAGGAAAUAUUGUGUUGAUGAUGGUGGUUCAUUCCACAUAGGUUUCAAGGAUGAAAGGUUGGAACAUGGGCAAUCAUUUCCUGGAGAUGGUAAUGGUUAAUUUUCUGUUGGCAGGAAGAAUUUGAACAUGAAAUUUAAGGAUGCUACCUCUGCUGCUCAAGCAGAGGCUGAGUUUGCAGAACAUGCAAGCCUAGCUGCCAGAGGAACUUUCA
rnacentral:lncRNA from 1 species